UUCGAGCGUCAUUAUCAACCAUCAAGCACUGCUUGGCAUUGGGUGCCGUCCCUCACGGGACGCGCUCUAAAGAAUUUGGCGGUGGUGUUGAACCUCAAGCGUAGUAAAAUCUUUAGCUUUCUAGGUUCGGCAUCGUUUAGCUCGAGAAACAAACACCUAAGGUUGACCUCGGAUCAGGUAGGGAUACCCGCUGAACUUAA
rnacentral:misc_RNA from 1 species